AGUGACAAGGUUCGGCCGCAUUUUGGCAUUUAGGUAUUAGCGUGAUGAAGGUGGCCUUCCAGUCCUCAGGCAUAGCUGCCUGGUCAAAAAAACACUGGAUAGCCUCCACCACCGCUAGUCGGAUAAUACCCCAAUACUGCCGAAAGAAAAACGGGGGGAAACCAUCAGGUCCCGGGGCCUUGUCUGCGGCCAAGGCCCAUACUGCCUCCUGUACCUCCUGUNN
rnacentral:lncRNA from 1 species